UCUCCCGCCCCCUUCUUUCUUUCGAAGCAAGUUGCUCGCUUGUGAAACAAGUGUUGCAGCCUUCAUUCUCAGAGAAACUGAUUGGCCAUUGCCGACAAAGGGUUAAAGCUUCGAUGGUGCGUAAAUCAAGCCCUCUCGCCCCCCCCCCCCCCAACUAAUAGAUCGCCUUCUCGAAUCCUGCAUAGAUUUCCAUGUUUAGAUCAUGUACCAGUUACUCUUUGGUGUAUAUGCAUGCACGGUGGAUAUCUGAAGUCGUUUAAUGAAGCCUUUUGAGGAGUAGGGAUUACAGUGGACAAACGCGAAUGAUUUUUUUUUAACAAUACAUAGUCCUGUUGUGUUUUUUUUCCAUUCAUUUGUAUCCAAAGCAAACCACAUUCACUCACAAUAUGCGGUUGACUCUCACGAAUCUGAUUUGACAUUAGAGUGGACUGCAGAAGCAAGCUUAUUUUUGACCAAAACCAUUUUUUUUCUUCCCACGAAGAAAUUCACACAUUACAUGUUUCCCCGUCUGCAUGUCAAAAUCCCUCGGCCAUUGUUUUAUUGGCGCAUUAACAGUCAUUUUUUUGUUAACGAGCACCAUUAAGCCAGUCCACGCGGUCAUGCCCUUGCCUUUGCCGGCAACCCGCACUUCUUCAACUCUUUUUUUAAAGUGCGUUUAAACCAUAAUAAAAUUCAUGGCGACUGCUUAAGGUUUUAUAGUGCUGAUAUAUGACUUGCUCUAGUGCAGACUGUAAACACUACUGGGAUUGUUGCAGCCUUAUUUCUUGCUCGGGAAAUGUGCACAUCUCAUUCAGCGGUCAGGCUGCUCCGAGUGAACACCUCUUGGGUGUGGGAUGUCCGAGGGAGUCCUCGGCAUAUCAACUUCCCGGAUGAAGGCCCAACAACAGACCGGAGCAAUGGGCCGACUUGAUUCUGGACUUCCUGCAUUCUGACCUCUUAUCAAAAGACAAUGUCUAAAAUCUCGUCUUCUUCUUGGAACCAAAUUUGCAGAUGUGACAGGGGGCACGGCAGGAACACCGAGUAAGGCGUAGCACAUCUACAAAAUUCAACAACACGCUGAAGUAGACCGGGCG